rnacentral:misc_RNA from 1 species
UGUCUAUCCUGUCGGAAGAACGCGGGUGACUCUAAAAAGAGAUGGUGUAGUAUUAGAUUUAGUGCCACCGCCCACUAAAGUUAACAACUUGAUAUUUGGAAGGACCUGGGUUGAUUCACCCGGAGAGAUGAUAAUGACCAAUUUAGCAACGGGUGAUAAAGUUGUACUAUAUUUUCAACCAUGCGGAUGGUUUGGUGCUGGUCGCUAUGA